GGAUGUGAGAGUAACCUGGCUGUGGUAUCUGUGGGAUUGAGUCAGCUGACCUAGCUGGCUAGGGAGGUGUCCUCCCCCUCUCUGACCAUUCCAUGGGCAUCCCUCCAGGAGCUGCAUGCUUGGGAAAGAGGAUGAAUUUCCCUGAUACAAGAGGACCGUUCUUUGAUCAAGGAUAUACAAGUAGCCAUGCUCCCUUGCUAGAAUCCCCUCAAAAUGUCCUUUUUUAUUAAGUUGUGAUGAUUCCAAGAAAUUGUACCUGACCGUCUGCCAUAAAGCAGGGGUUGAAAACUCACAGCUACUAUCAAAUCUAGUCUUAGAGAAGUCCUUGUUGUUU
ensembl:misc_RNA 7SK 7SK RNA